rnacentral:rRNA from 1 species
AUACGGGGGGUGCAAGCGUUAAUCGGAAUUACUGGGCGUAAAGCGUACGUAGGCGGUUCGUUAAGUUAGAUGUGAAAGCCCCGGGCUUAACCUGGGAACUGCAUUUAAAACUGGCGAACUAGAGUUGAGUAGAGGGGAGUGGAAUUUCAGGUGUAGCGGUGAAAUGCGUAGAGAUCUGAAGGAACACCAGUGGCGAAGGCGACUCCCUGGACUCGAACUGACGCUGAGGUACGAAAGCGUGGGUAGCAAACGGGAUUAGAAACCCUAGUAGUCC